rnacentral:rRNA from 1 species
GUGCCAGCAGCCGCGGUAAUACGGAGGGUGCGAGCGUUAUCCGGAAUUACUGGGUUUAAAGGGUGCGUAGGCGGCCAUGUAAGUCAGGAGUGAAAGUUUGCGGCUCAACCGUAAAAUUGCUUUUGAUACUGCAUGGCUGGAAUCAGGAUGAGGUCAGCGGAAUGUGGCAUGUAGCGGUGAAAUGCAUAGAUAUGCCAUAGAACACCAAUUGCGAAGGCAGCUGGCUAGACCUGUAUUGACGCUGAGGCACGAAAGCGUGGGGAGCGAACAGGAUUAGAUACCCUGGUAGUCC